AACGAACGCUGGCGGCAGGCCUAACACAUGCAAGUCGAACGCCCCGCAAGGGGAGUGGCAGACGGGUGAGUAACACGUGGGAACGUACCCUUCGGUUCGGGAUAACUCAGGGAAACUUGAGCUAAUACCGGAUACGUCCGAGAGGAGAAAGAUUUAUCGCCGAGGGAUCGGCCCGCGUCUGAUUAGCUUGUUGGUGAGGUAACGGCUCACCAAGGCGACGAUCAGUAGCUGGUCUGAGAGGAUGAUCAGCCACAUUGGGACUGAGACACGGCCCAAACUCCUACGGGAGGCAGCAGUGGGGAAUAUUGGACAAUGGGCGCAAGCCUGAUCCAGCCAUGCCGCGUGAGUGAUGAAGGCCCUAGGGUUGUAAAGCUCUUUUUACCCGGGAAGAUAAUGA
rnacentral:rRNA from 1 species